rnacentral:rRNA from 1 species
GACGAACCGUGCAAACGUUAUUCGGAAUCACUGGGCUUAAAGCGCGUGUAGGCGGGACGGCACGUCGGUCGUUGAAAUCCCCCGGCUCAACCGGGGAAGGGGCGCCGAUACGACCGUCCUGGAGGGCGUAGGGGGACCUGGAACUUCCGGUGGAGCGGUGAAAUGCGUUGAGAUCGGAAGGAACGCCCGUGGCGAAAGCGAGGUCCUGGACGCCUACUGACGCUGAGACGCGAAAGCCAGGGGAGCGAACGGG